UACGUAGGGGGCUAGCGUUGUCCGGAAUCAUUGGGCGUAAAGAGCGUGUAGGCGGCUUGUUAAGUCUUGCGUGAAAUCUCGGGGCUCAACCCCGAGCGGUCGUGAGAAACUGGCAGGCUAGAGUGCGGGAGAGGAGAGUGGAAUUCCUGGUGUAGCGGUGAAAUGCGCAGAUAUCAGGAAGAACACCUAUGGCGAAGGCAGCUCUCUGGGACGGUACUGACGCUGAGACGCGAAAGCGUGGGGAGCGAACAGG
rnacentral:rRNA from 1 species